GGGGCCGUAGCUCAGUUGGGAGAGCGUCUGGUUUGCAACCAGAAGGUCGACGGUUCGAGUCCGUUCGGCUCCA
rnacentral:tRNA from 1 species